GUAUUAAUCGUAAGCACUGUACUAAUUAGUCAUUGAUUACCAUUCCUAAAUAGAAACUCAUUUGUGAUGCUUUUUCUUUAAUAUAAGAGGGGUAUCUCCUUCUUUUCUUUUCUUCCCCCUCCCCCUUUUCUACCUCAUUUCAUCUUCUGGAGACUGUCUGUAGUCCCAUCUUUUCUCCAGUCUGACUCUGUGUAAGUUUUACUCUAGGCAGAGGCUGCUAAUUGCUGACCACUAUCCAUUCCUCCUUCUCUCUCAGAUACACAGGGCCUGUUUUUUGCUGAGCACAAGGUAGCCAAAAGAUGACAUUUCACAGCCUCCUUUGCAGCUAGGUGGGGAUAUGCAUACAGUUCUGACCAAUGAGAUAUACAUUAAAGAACAGAUGGGACUUUGGGGGAAAUCUUUUGAGAAAUGAAUGCUAUUCCUCUUUUUCCUCCCUUCUCCGUCCUGCUGCUUAAAUUCUGAGUGAGAUGGCUGAAGCUUGAGCUGUCAUUUUAGAACAUGAGAAGACAUGCUAAACAAAGCUCAAAUUCUCCCCACACUCUGAAACAAUGCCCAUCUCUGAUAUCAGCAGUGCCUCAGUCUUCAAUUCUUCAUUUGGAUACAGUCAUCUUUUCUUCAUGGACACAAGAGUCUGAACUGAAGAAUUUUUGUUGCAGAAAUAUACUGAUCAUCCUUGGCUUCUCCUCUAUCAUGGCUGUGAUUUCUUUGAUUGCUGUGGGGCUGACCCAGAACAAAACAUUGCCAGAAAAUGUUAAGUACGGGAUUGUGCUCGACGCAGGCUCUUCUCACACAAGUUUGUACAUCUAUAAGUGGCCAGCAGAAAAGGAGAAUGACACGGGGGUGGUGCGUCAGAUAACAGAGUGCAAGCUGAGAGGUCCUGGAAUCUCAAGAUAUGCUCAAAAAUUAAGUGAAAUAGACAUUUAUCUGACUGCAUGCAUGAUAAGAGCCACUCAAGUGGUUCCAAAGUCCCAGCACCAGGAGACCCCCGUUUACCUGGGAGCUACGGCAGGCAUGCGCUUGCUCAGGAUCGAAAAUGAACAGUUGGCAGACAAGGUCCUGGCUGCAGUGGCGAGGAGCCUCAGCAAUUACCACUUUGACUUCCAGGGUGCCAGAAUCAUCACCGGCCAAGAGGAGGGUGCCUACGGCUGGAUUACUAUCAACUAUCUGCUGGGCAAAUUCACGCAGAAAUUGAGUUGGCUCAACCUGAAGCCAAAUGAGGACAGUGCUCUUGAAACGUACGGGGCUUUAGACCUUGGGGGAGCCUCUACACAAAUCACUUUUGUGCCCCCAAACAAGAAGAUCGAGUCUCCAAGCAAUGCUCUGCACUUCCGCCUUUAUGGCAGGGACUACAGCGUGUACACACACAGCUUCUUGUGCUAUGGGAAGGAUCAAGCACUCAGGCAGAAACUGGCCAAGGACAUUCAGGGUACAAACGGAAUCCUCAGGGACCCAUGCUUUCACCCUGGAUACGAGACAGUAAUGAAUGUAAGUGAUCUCUACAGUAGCCCCUGCACCAAGAGAUUUGAGAUGACUCUUCCAUUCGAUCAGUUUCACAUCCAGGGCACUGGAAACUAUCAACAAUGCCAGCAAAGCAUUCUUCAACUCUUCAACACCAGUUACUGCCCUUACUCCCACUGUUCCUUCAAUGGGAUUUUCUUGCCACCACUUCACGGGGAUUUUGGGGCAUUUUCGGCUUAUUACUAUGUGAUGGAAUUUUUAAACUUUACCUCAGAGGAAACCCCCUCGCAGGAAAAGAUGACAGAGACUAUGGAAAAGUUCUGCUCUCAGCCUUGGGAGGAGCUGAAGACCUCUUUUGGUGACGUGAAGGAGAAGUACCUGAGUGAAUACUGCUUUUCUGGAGCCUACAUCCUAACUCUCCUUCUGAGUGGCUAUCAUUUCACAGCUGAUUCCUGGAAGAAUAUUCAUUUCAUGGGCAAGAUCCAGAGCAGCAAUGUCGGGUGGACUCUGGGCUACAUGCUGAACCUGACCAACAUGAUCCCAGCUGAGCAGCCGUUGUCCACACCUCUCUCCCACUCCACCUAUGUCUUCCUCAUGGUCCUCUUCUCCCUGAUCCUGGUUGCAGUGGCCAUUGUUGGUUUGUUUAUCUUUCACAAGCCUUCAUAUUUCUGGAAAGACAUGGUAUAGCAGGAGCAGCUGAAAUCUGCUGGCUAGAGUGAGAAAAAAACUUGCCCAUGGAGCACUUUCCUCCACAGUGGUGUACAAGAUCAUCCUUCCUUGCUCACCAAGGCCAGUCUUGACCAGCAUGAAGCUUCCAUGGCUUUUGCUGAAGCCUUUCCAUGGAAGGUAUUCACCACCUUCUGCCUCAAGGACUACCCAGAAGACAUCGUCUCUUUUGUGAGUCCUCAACUCCCCGUUUCUCUUUUGUACUCUGUGCUUGUGUAGGUCUUAAAGACCUGUUACUUUUCAUGAUCUCUGCUUUAUAAAAAAACAACCAUGACUUUGUCCCGAAGAACUCAGAGUCCUGAGUCCUGCACUGGCAAGUUGUGCUGCCUAAAAGAUCUCAGGAACUGGUUCAGUUGUACUUAGACCCUUUCUUUCUCCUAUUGCCCAUUUAUUAAGAAUGCCAUACAAUGCCAUUGGAGAAGGCAGACACACAUCUCAUUCCCAUCCUGCUGUUUGCACAGGAGUAUUUUCUAGACUAGACAAAUAUGUGCUAGGGCCAAAGAGUCUUGCAAGGGAACUUAUGUGCUUGUAUCGUUUAUACGAUACUCAAUCCAAUCCAAAACAGGGAUGUGGAUUAGUUAUAUAUUCCUCAGUGGUGCCAAAAUGCUAUGGAGUGGGACACCCCCCCCCUCAGACCAGAGAUUUUUUUUUAAAGCUAAUGUAACAUAUAGGCAUUCAGCUAUCAGGGCAUACUACAUGGUAGGUAUACAUGUCAGGAAGAAAAAUACAAUUACAAUGAAGAGUUUGGAAAAUGCAUCCUUCAGUGCAUCUAUUGGGGUUUUAUUUUUAUUGUAGUCAUACAUAUAUAACAUAAAGUCCACCAUUUUAAUGUGUACAAUUCAGCCACCUUUCGCAUCUUCGCAGUGUUAUGCAACCAUCACGACCGUCUAAUUCUGGAAUAUUUUCCCCACCAAGAAAUUAGCUGGAGGCAAGACCAUCCCUGGGUAGUUUCAAACCACCAAACUUCCAGUUAACAGCCAAAUAUGCUCAUCAGUUGUACCACAAAGAUGCCCCUUGAGUUUUAAAGCCAUGCCAUAUCUUUUUGUCCCAGGGUUUAAUGUAGUGGGAGAGCUACAACACGCCUUUCCACUGUCAUGGUAUUUGCUCAUCAAAGUGUGCCGGGAACCAGAUCUGAAAGUGUGCUUGCCACCCCUGUCGCACAAGUAUGGGCUCUAUUUACUUAUUCCAUGGACUAUUUGGUGGGAGAAGCAGCAGCUAUGGACCUUGUCACAGAAACAUGAAGAGACCCUAUACUGUCUUCCUUUAAUGAUUGCUGUGAGCAGGUGGAGUGGUGAUGUGUCACUCCAAAGUUGUCCCAAGCUCCCCAUCUCUGGAUCUGGGGACAGACUGCUGAGCUGAUUGAUGUAGGGUGGGACUGGGGUGAGGAAAGAAAAGCUUUCCCACGAACUGGAAGCCAAAUGUCCUAACACUCUUGAAUAACCAAGUCAUUUUUUACAAUAUCAAGGUGAAUACAAGCUUAUAAAGCUGUGGGCAGGAAGUUUUUCUUUUCUGCUACUCACAGUUGAACUUGUUGUACUUGGAUUAGGAACCCAAAGCCAAGUUUGAACAUGUUUAAACUCUUUCUGCUAGUGCUAGUGGUUAUAUUGUUACACUUAGUAUUUAUUGAGCAUUUGUUGUGUCCCGUGCUCUGUGCUCAAGUGCAUUACAUUCAUUUUCUCAUUUAAUCCUCACAACAGUCUGAAGGGAGCUACUACCCUUCCCACUUCAUAGAACCAGAAACUGAGGCUCAGAGAGGUUAAUUCACUUGCCCAAGUCGCUGACCUGAAAGCCUGCAAUGCACUUAACCAUUAUUUUCUUUCCCAAAUAUACUAGACUGUCUCCUUGUAACUUCUAAGCACACACUUAACUCUGUAUGAAUACAGGCCAUGAGAGAGAGGGAAGUAGACAGAUGACCUGUUCCCUGAUGGACUUAGUGAUUUAAUAUUGCUUUAAGUCCACAAAGGCUGUCAUGGCAACACUGAUAUUCUGUUCACAUACUAUGGUAACGUACAUGGAGUAUGAUGCUAAUCAAGGAUUUCCCCAUAUUCCUGGCUUCUUAAUUAUAAUGCUUGCUCCCUGCACAGCAAUUCUGCAUCAAAUAAAAAUGAAAAUAAAAGGUCAUAAAAUAGAGCCAACGGCAGCUUCCUUCUUCCUUAUGCCUACGUAUACAAAGCACUGUCAUGCACAUUCUCUAUUCUAAUAAAACCCCAUGAGGGUGUAAGUACUAUUUCCAUUUUAUGAAUGAGGGUCACACAAACUAAUAGAUGAUAGAGUAGAUAUGCAAAUUCAUGUCUUUUGCCCCAAGUUUAUUGUUUUGUCUUUUCUAAACACUGCCCCUCAGGAAGUUAGAAUUAGAAUUCACCAGUUUCCUUCAAUAAACUGAAACCUUUUCUUAUUCCAUUUUUGUCUUGCAGCCUGGGUCCAAAAAAAAAAAAUCCAUUAAGGUAUUUGGGAGUCAAAUUCCACUUGUUUUAAGUCUCAACUCAUGGAGAUGAUCAGCUGGCACAACCUAAUCUCAUUUCCUUUGGAGGGAAAUAUGGUUUUGUGUCAGAUUCAGGAAUCUGCUUUCAGCCAUUCUAGAUGAGAAGGGCCAAAUAAAAUGGGUCACUGUCAACUGAUUUUAAUAUUGAAUUGGCCACUGGUUAUAAAUGAUUACCAUUCCUUCCCAGCCAUUCACCUAAACUUGGUUCUACCAUUCCUUUAGAAGAUUUUGUUGCCUUUUUUGUGAAGGCAGAGAUGCCUGUUAUUCAGGCCAAGACGCCUGCUGAAAGACCUUUGGAAAAUGCAAUCUGGAUUCAAAGAUGAUACAAGAUAAUUUUGAUGAUUAUAUUCUAUAGUCAAAUUGUAAAUUUGAAUAUUAAAAUAAAUGUUUCUUAAUAGCUCACAAAGAUUACCAUAUUGUUAUAUUAAAAUUACUAUUAAAAUAUAUUCUCAUUUAUUGUCAGUUUGAAAGAUGAGCUGAAUUUCACCCAGACUGGUCUGGUCCCUCUCUGAUUCAGAUUCUAAUAGUUGCUAUCUUGUUAGAAUAGGACAGUUGCUUAUGGUUAGUUGUGCUCACUAACCAUAUUUCUUUUCAGUUUGUGUGAGUUUUAUCUUUUAAACUUAUUAUAAUAACCUUAGAGUUUCAGUGGCUUACCACAAUCAACUUUUUCGUGUUCAUGGAUCUGCAUCAGCUGGGUAGUGCUCCUUCAGGCAGUAGGUGUGGUUCAGGCCUGCUCCUGUAUCUUGUAUCUCUUACAAAAAACGAAUGGCAAGGACACCAGAGAGGAAGAUGGAACAGGAUGCCUCUAACAGCCUUGGCCAGGACAGGCCCCUGUCACUCUCAUCUACAUUCUACUGACCAAAAUAAGUCAUAUGAACAAGCCCAACAAUUAGCAAGUUGGAGAAAUACUGGAAGGAGUGGCUAGGUCAUAUGGCAAAGGACAUGGAUGACUCAUUCUAAUACAGAAGAGGAGUGAAACAAUGGGCACAGUGAUUGAACCUACCACAGUGUCUCAUUAACUAAAACAUAAAGGGUGUUUUCUAUCAAUUACAGUCCACUUAUCUUGCCAAGGAAUAUUCUUUUUUAAAAAUGUCAUUACUUCCAAGAUGCCAUCAGUCUUCAACUUCUUUCCACAGCCUUCAUCAGGAUGCUGUAGCAGCUCGCAAAUUAGCCUCAUAUUCUAAAAAAGCCUCUCUAUUCUGGAUUUCCUAAGAGAACAUAGAUCUGUUUAAAUUAUUUUAUGUGUUUAGGACAAUGUGUAGUUAACUACCCAAGUUUUUAUGUGUACAUGAAUCUAAUACAACUGAGUACAUUUGGUUUUAUCACAGGGAGAAUGGAUUUUUUAAUGGGGGAAGGAGUAUCUCCAUGAACCUUCUCUAGGAAAGUGGUAUUUAAGACUGUACAUGUGAUAGAAGCAUUGCUAUGCCUUUUGCGUUUAUCUAUUUUAA